CCUCUCUGUUCUUUUUCAUCAUUUAUCAAUUUUCCAAAGUGUCUAAGGAUUUCUAAUUUUCUAUAACUUAUAUUCAGGAUUCUUAGUUUUCUAUUUAUUAAUAUAUCGGUUAUUAAUUCCAUAUUUUUUUUGACACAAACUGUGAAAAAAAUUGAGAUUCAAUGCUCUCGAUUUUUGUAAUGAUGAUUUUUUGGGUUUUUAAAUCUCUUUCUAAUAUAUUUCGUUAACCCAACUCAUGGUUAUAAUCAUAAGUUUUAGAUCUACUAAUGUGUAUAUUAGAUGUUUACAGUGCAUAGUUAGGUUUGCGGUACAUAAUGUUGUAAUAACUAAAUUAGUUCUCCUGGCAGGAUCAAGCCUAAGGAAAUGGCAGGGAUACGAUUAAAAAAAUGUGUAAUAACCUGAUAUAGAUAUAGAUAAACAUGAGUGAGAUUUGUCCAUAAUUAGCUACAAAGAUUGUAAAUAUCUGAUGCUUAACACUAUUUUGUGUUAUACAUGUGAAAUUUACAGUUAAAAAGCUUCGCCCUGUCAUGGACCCGAAACAUAAUAUCAGGAAAAAUUGUCUCCAUUGCUCAUGUGGUAUAUGGGACAAAAAAUACGAGCAAGCAAUCUUCCAAUAGUUUUUGGAGUUGAAAAAUUGGGAAUUAUGACGUAUGAGCAUAGAAAAAGCUUUAAGCGGCAUCUCUUUGUAGUUUUCAGGGACAAAAAAUACGAGAAAGCAAUCUUCCAAUAGUGGUUGGAGUUGAUAAAAGGUACAUUUUUUUUACUUCUUCAUUCUGAAAGUAAAAUGUAACACAUUGAUGUUGCAAUCAUUCAUGCCCAGCUCUCCCUGUGUAGCUGAACUUGGUUAGCAUUUGUACAUUUAAGGUGUGUUAUAUUGAAUAACAUAUCAUGUUAGGUUUGUUAAUGCUAACACAGUUUAAGCUCAGAAAAAUAAUAUUAUUCCAGUUUAUAUUAUUGCUCGGCCAGCUUCUGAUUCAAGUAACAAUAAGUACGAUAAAGAAAUGUUACAAGAGUGUUUGGAUUCAAAAAAAGGUACAUUUUCUUACUUUCGCAUUCCAAAAUUUGCUAUGCAUCUGAUUAUGCAGCAUCAAUUUUUUUGGCUUUAGCGAUUGAUAUUCUUCACACACAGAGUCCAGGUGAUGUUUUUUGGGAUGCUGAAGAAGAUUUCCAAUGAGUGACAUUAUUGUGGUGGUGAAAUUGUAUGUAGUGGUGAUGGUAUUGUGAUGGUGAAAAUUGUCAAAUAAAAUCCAUCUCCAAAUGCAGGUAUCGUAAAUUAUGUUGUCUCUCUUCUAAUUUACUCUUAUGCAAGGUAUCAUAAUAAAGAUUUAAGUCUUUUGAAGGUUUUAUGACUCACCUUCAAAUAGGGAACAUAAUAUCCAAGUGUGUCUUCUUCAUUUAAUAGCUGUCAAACAAACAAAAAUGCAGCUGGAGGCUACAGAAGGAGUCGGCAAAAUACGAUUGUCUAAUUGACUGAUGGGAUUGAGACAUCGAGCAAAUCUUCUAGAUUUUUGCCCAAGAACAUGAUCGAGGCAAGGUUUGUUCGUUUCUAUCUUUUUUUUUGGUUGUAUUUUGUGUCAGUCCUUUGCAGUCAUUUAUGGUGAUUCAACAUCACGCGGAGGUUAGAGACUGCGAGAAAAAGCUUAUUGAGUUGCAGAUGGCAUCACCAUUAGAUCUUCAGACUCCUCUACAAUCAAAUCAAGCAAUGGAACAAUGGCAAUUGUGACGUAUCCUUCCAUUUCUGAAGGUUGGUUAGACUAUUUAGUAUUUGUGCACGUUCACUGUGGACAUGAAACAUUUGGUAGAAAGUCACUGGCUCAUGUGUAUGUGAGCACUGAGCACUAGUAAAGAUGGAGUUCAUAGUCCAGAUCAUUCUUAUUCCAUAGUUCCGGUUGUAAUCAAUCUUAGGUCAAUAAAAGUUGUUCAAAAUUUUCAUUUUAUUUCAUAGACGUGUAAUAUAAUAUUAUGAAACAUUCCAAGUUUAUACAGUGGUUUAUUUUCCAA